UGGCCUCACUAAGUGAGGGAAGGGACAGGCCUGGGCCCAGUGGGCGCUGAUCGCAAUCUCUGGGGAAAGAGGUAUAUAUGAGAUUUUUAGAAGAUGCUUUUCAAAAAGAGAAUGGAUUAUACGAGGAUGAGAAACAGUGGCCCAGGACUGCAUUCAAGAAUCCCUGAACUCAGAGGGACUUAAACCAAACAUCCGGACAUUUAGCUCAGCAGUGCCAACAGCCUCUAGUGACCCCAGAAGCAGGACAGCAAAUAUGAGGAAAACGCGCUGAAUCAAUGGACACGAAAAGAAGAGUGAUUAAGAAGAGGCUGCCUGAACUCAUUCGGAUUAAUUCCACUCUAAAGAAAUCCUCGAAUAGAGGAAACACCAUAAAACAUUGAUGAAAUAAAGGAAAAUACUGAGUUACCCACUCCUUCUUAAAAUGUAUUAAUGAACAGAUCCAGUGAGAAGUUUACAUGUCUUAACUGUGAAUUCAAUAAACAUCACUGGCAUCUGAUCUGUACUAAGUCCAUGGGGAUUAGGGUAAAAGUAAGGAUGUACAUAUGAAUAAUGAGAAGAGCAAACAUUUAUGGAGGGCUACCACGUUGCAGGCGCUGGGCUAAGAACUAGCUCAUUUAACCUUAAUCGUAAGUAUGAUUGUUUGCCCAUUUUACAGGUAAGGAAACUGAAACUUAGGACAGGGAAGUAACUUGCCUGAGGUCCCAGAGCUGGCAGGUGGCGGUGCUGAGUUUCUGACUCAGGUCAGCCAGAGUUCCUAACCAUUAGGCUCUAGUGACUCCCAGGGGAAAGAUCCCCGGAGCUUGUAGUCGGACUGGUAGGGCGCACGGGAACAAGGAGUCCAUAAUGAUAGGGCCUCCCACUGGGAAAGGGGAUAGUUAAGGCAGAGUCACAAGGAAGGUAACACUAGAGCAGGAGCUUAAAGAAUGAAGGAAGAGACGUCCACGUGGAGAGAAGUGGGGAAAGUUUGCUUUAGGGACUGUGCCACGAUAAACAGAAGCAUCAUACCUGGAGCCGAGGAAGAACCACAUGGUGCUGGGGUCACACCAACCGUACCCCAGGGACUCAGCUUUGGGCCUAAAACCAGUUUCAGAAAGAGAACACUCUUGUUGCAAUCAGCACGAGUUCUAAGACCUGCAGCCCACUGGUGGCAACUGCUGGUGGCCGUCAGCGCCGUCUCCUUGCAGCUUGGCCCACUGUGGCCUCCCCAGGUAGCGAGCUGGACACCGCUCCAGGGCAGACUAGCCUGGGGGCUGUGGAGGGUGAGGGUGCGGCGACACAGAGCUGCCACGAACCAGGCAAGUCACUGAAGCCCGCGUCAGGUCAGUGCACCUCCUCCAGAAUGGUCCCCCUUUCCACAGCCCACGGCUUUUUUCAGCCUCAGUGCCUGCAGGUGAGCCCAGUGUGGCCGUGGACAGAUCCGGAAGAAAGACGAGAGAUGUGACAAAGGAAAAGCAGGGUCCCACAGGUGCUACUGAUGCCCAAGGCAUUGCUUUGUGCUUUCUUAAAAUCAUGGCUAACACAUGGACACUAGUCAACUGAGCAGUCCCAGGGCCCCUGGUAAUAUUCGCUCACUUCUCCUUAGAGAGACACCCCUUUUCUCUCUCGAAAACUAGAUUUUUUCUUUUCCCAUUUUCUGCCCUUAACCGUCUCUAAUGCUCCCUUUCCUUUUUCUCAGUUUCUUCCAUCAGCCUCUGGUGGACUCGCCCCAGGGCCUGCAGCUCCAGGCCCAGACUUUUGCUUGGAAGGGCAGCGUGCCGCUGUGGUCACAGGCCACUCAAUCUGAAUCCACUUGGAGAGCUGGACCAAUGCAGAGCCCUGGGCCCCGCUCCAGACCCACUGACACAGUCCUGCCGAGCUGGGAGCUGCAUUUUCAACAGUGCUUCCAGCUCACUUUUUGCUCCCUAAAGUUUGAAAAUCACUGCCCUGGGGACCCAGACCCUGGAAACUUUCAGAUCUCCGAUCUUUUCCUCCAUCUCUCCCAUGGAACCUUCUUUCGUAAAUGGAGAUGCUGAGAAGGUACAGAGCAGUCCAGGGCUUAGCCUUUCCCGGUUGUCUUGUGUUAACUCAUCUGUCUCCUCUGCUAGACUGUGAGUCUCUAGGAUGGACAUCAGGUUCUACUCGGCUCUCCAACCCUGGGUGGUGCCUGGGUCACCGUGGACGCUCCACUACUGUUUGUGGAACGAAUAAAUUGUUGAUGUAGCAAACCCUC